GAGGAUCUUAGCAACAACCGGUAUUUCUAGUCAUGUAUAUAUGUAAAUAAUUUAUAAAUCACCACACCAAAUGACUCAAAGGCAAUCUUAAGAAAUGGGAGAAUCUGUGGAGCCUUCAUGGGACUGGACUAGGCCCUCUGCACAAGUGAGACAGUUGUGUAGCUUGAUCUGUUUACGGUGCCGCCAGCAGUAGGAUCAGGAUCUAUCCCCGGUGCAUGAGAGGGCUUUUUGGAACCCAUUACCUAUGCUGGAAAGAUGGCUUAAUAGUGGGAGUGCUUGCUCUGUGAGCAUGAAGAGCUGAGUUCAGAUCUCCAGGAAAAAAUCCAGGCAUGGCUGUAUAUGUCUGCAACCCCAGCAUCGGAGGGCUGAGAUAGGUGGACUGUGAAAACUAGGUUGGCAAGCAGCGUAGAGGCAUGAGCUUCACGUUCAGGGAAAGAUGCUGUGUCAAGGCGACCAGGUAAACAGUGAUAGAAGACACCAAAUAUCCCAUGUCCUGGCCUGGCCAAUGUCUGAGUAAGCACAGGUUUAAAAAUAGGAAGGCAGAUCUGCAUGAAGGAAACUUAACUCAGCUUCCAUGAAAAGUCAUCAUAUUAGAUUUGCCAAAUUAGAUUUUUCUUACUUUCUCUUCCUGGUCUCUGAUUCUAUAAAUUAUUUUUAUGCUAGGAAACAAAAGAACUAGAGUCCUUAUGUGACAUUCAUCUUG